UAACGAAUCUUCCGCAAUGCGCGAAAGCGUGACGGAGCAAUGCCGCGUGCAGGAUGGAGCCCCUCGGGGUGUAAACUGCUGUCAGGGUUUAGCAACACAAUGAGCAGACCCAAAGGAAGGGCCGGCUAACUUCGUGCCAGCAGCCGCGGUAACACGAAGGGCCCGAGCGUUGCGCGGAAUCAUUGGGCUUAAAGCGUACGUAGGCGGGCGCGCAGGCGUCUUGUGAAAGCCCUCGGCUCAACCGAGGAAUUGCUUGACGAACCGCGUGUCUUGAGGCAAGUAGGGGCGGUCGGAACGAUAGGUGGAGUGGUGAAAUGCGUUGAUAUCUAUCGGAACGCCAAAGGAGAAAUCAGACCGCUGGGCUUGUCCUGACGCUGAGGUACGAAAGCGUGGGGAGCGAACGGGAUUAGAUACCCCCGUAGUCC
rnacentral:rRNA from 1 species